rnacentral:rRNA from 1 species
CCAAUAGCGUAUAUUAAAGUUGUUGCAGUUAAAAAGCUCGUAGUUGAAUUUCGGGAUCAAGGAAUCGGUCAUGCCUCGGUAUGUACUGGUUUUAUUGGUUCUCACCUUCUAAAGAACCAUAAUGUCAUUCAUUUGAUGUUAUGGGGAAUUAGGACUGUUACCUUGAAAAAAUUAGAGUGUUUAAAGCAGGCUUACGCUUGAAUACAUUAGCAUGGAAUAAUGAACUAGGACAUCAGAUUCUAUUUUGUUGGUUUCUAGGAUCGAUGUAAUGAUUAAUAGGGAUAGUUGGGGGCAUUAGUAUUCAAUUGUCAGAGGUGAAAUUCUUGGAUUUAUUGAAGACUAACUACUGCGAAAGCAUUUGCCAAGGAUGUUUUCAUUAAUCAAGAACGAAAGUUAGGGGAUCGAAGACGAUCAGAUACCGUCGUAGUCUUAACCAUAAACUAUGCCGACUAGGGAUCGGAUGAUGUUAAUUUUAUAAUGACUCAUUCGGCACCUUACG